rnacentral:rRNA from 1 species
UAGAUCGUAUCCUUUACACGGAUAACUGUGGUAAUUCUAGAGCUAAUACGUGCAAUCAGCUCGCUUCCUUGUGGAGCGAGCGCAGUUAUUAGAACAAGACCAAUCCGGCCUUCGGGUCGGUAAAAUUGGUGACUCUGAAUAACCGAAGCGGAGCGCAUGGUCUCGUACCGGCGCCAGAUCUUUCAAGUGUCUGACUUAUCAGCUUGUUGUUAGGUUACGUUCCUAACAAGGCUAUUACGGGUAACGGGGAAUUAGGGUCCGAUUCCGGAGAAGGAGCCUGAGAAACGGCUACUACAUCCAAGGAAGGCAGCAGGCGCGCAAAUUACCCACUCCCGGCACGGGGAGGUAGUGACGAAAAAUAACGAUGCGAGGGCUCUAUGCUUCUCGUAAUCGGAAUGGGUACACUUUAAAUCCUUUAACGAGGAUCUAUUGGAGGGCAAGUCUGGUGCCAGCAGCCGCGGUAAUUCCAGCUCCAAUAGCGUAUAUUAAAGUUGCUGCGGUUAAAAAGCUCGUAGUUGGAUCUGGGCAGCUGAACGGAUGGUGCGCUUUACAGCGUUACUGUCUGUUUGGUGCCACAAGCCGGCCAUGUCUUGCAUGCCCUUCACUGGGUGUGCUUGGCGACCGGAACGUUUACUUUGAAAAAAUUAGAGUGCUCAAAGCAGGCGUACGGCCUUGCAUAAUGGUGCAUGGAAUAAUGGAAUAGGACCUCGGUUCUAUUGUGUUGGUUUUCGGAACUCGAGGUAAUGAUUAAGAGGAACAGACGGGGGCAUUCGUAUUGCGGCGUUAGAGGUGAAAUUCUUGGAUCGUCGCAAGACGAACUACUGCGAAAGCAUUUGCCAAGAAUGUUUUCAUUAAUCAAGAACGAAAGUUAGAGGUUCGAAGGCGAUCAGAUACCGCCCUAGUUCUAACCAUAAACGAUGCCAACCAGCGAUCCGUCGGUGUUUUUUUGAAGACUCGACGGGCAGCUUCCGGGAAACCAAAGUGCUUAGGUUCCGGGGGAAGUAUGGUUGCAAAGCUGAAACUAAAGGAAUGACG